AGAGCGAACGCUGGCGGCAGGCCUAACACAUGCAAGUCGAGCGCCCGUAGCAAUACGGGAGCGGCAGACGGGAUAGUAACACGUGGGAACGCGCCCUUCGGUUCGGAAUAACUCAGGGAAACUUGAGCUAAUACCGGAUACGCCCUUACGGGGAAAGAUUUAUUGCCGAAGGAACGGCCCGCGUCCGAUUAGCUAGUUGGUGAGGUAAUGGCUCACCAAGGCGACGAUCGGUAGCUGGUCUGAGAGGACGACCAGCAUCACUGGGACUGAGACACGGCCCAGACUCCUACGGGAGGCAGCAGUGGGGAAUAUUGGACAAUGGGCGCAAGCCUGAUCCAGCCAUGCCGCGUGGAUGAUGAAGGCCUUAGGGUUGUAAAGUCCUUUUAACGGGGAAGAUAAUGACGGUACCGUAGAAUAAGCCCCGGCUAACUUCGUGCCAGCAGCCGC
rnacentral:rRNA from 1 species